rnacentral:rRNA from 1 species
UACGUAGGUGGCGAGCGUUGUCCGGAUUUACUGGGCGUAAAGAGCGCGCAGGCGGCUGGUCAAGUCCGAUCGUGAAAGCUCCCGGCUUAACUGGGAAAUUGCAUCGGAACUGAUCGGCUGGAAGGUGGGAGAGGGUAGCGGAAUUCCCGGUGUAGUGGUGGAAAUGCGUAGAUAUCGGGAGGAACACCAGUGGCGGAAAGCGG